rnacentral:ribozyme from 1 species
ACGAGUAGAAGUGAAAAAAAAAAAAAAAAAAAAAAAAUGAACUCUCGUGUUUGUUUGAU